rnacentral:rRNA from 1 species
UACGAAGGGGGCUAGCGUUGCUCGGAAUGACUGGGCGUAAAGGGCGCGUAGGUGGCUUGCACAGUCAGGCGUGAAAUUCCUGGGCUUAACCUGGGGUCUGCGUUUGAGACGUGUGGGCUGGAGUAGGGAAGAGGGUCGUGGAAUUCCCAGUGUAGAGGUGAAAUUCGUAGAUAUUGGGAAGAACACCGGUGGCGAAGGCGGCGACCUGGUCCUUUUACUGACGCUGAGGCGCGAAAGCGUGGGGAGCAAACAGG